CUAGGCUCACACAGAGCCUCUUUCUAUGGCUCUGGGCUCACAGUGCUACAAAGUGCCGCUGCCACACGUAAGACCAUCCUCCUAUUUUUCAGGCUACUGAAUCUGCCCCUGCAACAAUUCCUGAACAAAUUGUUGCUAAUAGGACAUAUUGGAGCUGCAUUGAGAUUUUAUGAGGCUACUGGCAGGAUUUACAUACUACACUACAUGGCCAAAAUAUCUGGAUGCCCCUUGGUCUGGGACUGUUUUUCGAGGUUUGGGAUGGACCCCUUCAUUCCA